UACGUAGGAUCCGAGCGUUGUCCGGAUUUACUGGGUGUAAAGGGUGCGCAGGCGGCCUGGUAAGUCAGUGGUGAAAUCUCGUCGCUUAACGACGAAACUGCCUUUGAUACUAUCAGUCUUGAAUCCGGUAGAGAUCUGUGGAAUUCCGAGUGUAGCAGUGGAAUGUGUAGAUAUUCGGAAGAACACCAGUGGCGAAGGCAGCAGAUUGGGCCGGUAUUGACGCUCAGGCACGAAAGCAUGGGGAUCAAACAGG
rnacentral:rRNA from 1 species